rnacentral:rRNA from 1 species
AUGGCAACGCUGGCAGCCUCCAUCAUCUUCAUGCUUCUUUCCAUGAUCGUCUCUGCUCAAGCCGGCAGCUCUGGUAGUGGCAAGCCUAAGACAACCGACCUCAUGGUGGAAGCAUGCAAGAACGCCUCGAUUGACUACUACAUCGCGACGGUCCCGCAAGAAUUUUGUUUGUUGACUCUCCAGUCAGACAAUCGGAGCACCAACGCUGAGGAUCUCCAUGAUCUGGUGUUCAUUGCCAUCGACAUCACCAAGGCUCGUGUCAUUGCUGCGAGCGGCAUGGUGAAGAAAAUGUUGCAAAAUGCCAAAAAGGGUACGGUGACGAUGCGCGUCCUUACUUUCUGCGAGGUGGACUAUGAACAAACGGCGAGCAUCCUCAACAUAUGUGAUGCCAUGAUCAAGGACUACCAAGGAUAUAAGGGCGAGAUGCGGUCCCAUGAGCUGGCUGGUUGUGUGGCUGAGGCGUACAGCCCCGCCGCCUACUGCCAAACCGAGCUUAACGAUGCGCCAAAGGAAGUGGCGCUGGUCAAGGAAAAUGCUGAGCUGCAAAUGCUAGUACACAUGAGCGCUAACUUCCUAGAGCCACUCACAUUGCCAGAAGAGAUGUUGUUUUGA